UACGUAGGGGGCAAGCGUUGUCCGGAAUCAUUGGGCGUAAAGCGCGUGUAGGUGGCCAUGUAGGUCCGCUGUGAAAACUCGAGGCUCAACCUCGAGCUGUCGGUGGAAACCACAUGGCUUGAGUCCGGAAGAGGAGAGUGGAAUUCCUGGUGUAGCGGUGAAAUGCGCAGAUAUCAGGAAGAACACCAAUGGCGAAGGCAGCUCUCUGGGACGGUACUGACACUGAGACGCGAAAGCGUGGGGAGCGAACAGG
rnacentral:rRNA from 1 species